rnacentral:rRNA from 1 species
GCAGUAGCCGCGGUAAUACAGAGGGUGCGAGCGUUAAUCGGAUUUACUGGGCGUAAAGCGUGCGUAGGCGGCUUCUUAAGUCGGAUGUGAAAUCCCUGAGCUUAACUUAGGAAUUGCAUUCGAUACUGGGAAGCUAGAGUAUGGGAGAGGAUGGUAGAAUUCCAGGUGUAGCGGUGAAAUGCGUAGAGAUCUGGAGGAAUACCGAUGGCGAAGGCAGCCAUCUGGCCUAAUACUGACGCUGAGGUACGAAAGCAUGGGGAGCAAACAGGAUUAGAUACCCGGGUAGUCCCUGUCUCUUAUAC